rnacentral:rRNA from 1 species
AUUGAACGCUGGCGGCAUGCCUUACACAUACAAGUCGAACGGUAACGGGUCCUUCGGGAUGCCGACGAGUGGCGAACGGGUGAGUAAUAUAUCGGAACGUGCCCAGUAGUGGGGGAUAACUGCUCGAAAGAGCAGCUAAUACCGCAUACGACCUGAGGGUGAAAGGGGGGGAUCGCAAGACCUCUCGCUAUUGGAGCGGCCGAUAUCAGAUUAGCUAGUUGGUGGGGUAAAGGCCUACCAAGGCAACGAUCUGUAGUUGGUCUGGGAGGACGACAAGCCACACUGGGACUGAGACACGGCCCAGACUCCUACGGGAGGCAGCAGUGGGGAAUUUUGGACAAUGGGCGCAAGCCUGAUCCAGCAAUGCCGCGUGCAGGAAGAAGGCCUUCGGGUUGUAAACUGCUUUUGUCAGGGAAGAAAUCUUCUGGGCUAAUACCCCGGGAGGAUGACGGUACCUGAAGAAUAAGCACCGGCUAACUACGUGCCAGCCGCCGCCGUAA